rnacentral:rRNA from 1 species
GGGGGAAACCCUGAUCCAGCCAUGCCGCGUGAGUGAAGAAGGCCUUCGGGUUGUAAAGCUCUUUCGGACGGAAAGAAAUCGCUUCGACUAAUACUCGGAGUGGAUGACGGUACCGUAAGAAGAAGCACCGGCUAACUACGUGCCAGCAGCCGCGGUAAUACGUAGGGUGCGAGCGUUAAUCGGAAUUACUGGGCGUAAAGCGUGCGCAGGCGGUUUGCUAAGACAGGUGUGAAAUCCCCGGGCUUAACCUGGGAACUGCGCUUGUGACUGGCAGGCUAGAGUACGGCAGAGGGGGGUGGAAUUCCACGUGUAGCAGUGAAAUGCGUAGAGAUGUGGAGGAACACCGAUGGCGAAGGCAGCCCCCUGGGCCUGUACUGACGCUCAUGCACGAAAGCGUGGGGAGCAAACAGGAUUAGAUACCCUGGUAGUCCACGCCCUAAACGAUGUCGACUAGUUGUUCGUAGAGGUAACUCUGUGAGUAACGCAGCUAACGCGUGAAGUCGACCGCCUGG